GAGAACUAUAUCUCCUCAUGCACAGAGGCAUAAAUCUUUACAUCAUUUGAAUCAUAUCAUACAUGCUACUUAUACAACAUAUGGAGGACUUUGUGUGCCACUACCUUUGCUUUAUUACUUUUAGCUUUGUCCUCUGAUUUGCUUCUGCUUCUUCCUCAGGCAAUAGAUGAUGAAGAAGCUAAGUUUCAUGGUGUGCGUCUGCAGACCUCACCCCCAGUGGACCCCCUGAAUUUUGGUUCCCGUUAUAUCGUGUCCAGUAAUGCUCAUCUGGAGAUAAUACCUGAGGAGUUGAAAUUAUCCUACAGGAGUCCUGGAGAAAUCCAGAUAUUCUCCAAAGUCUAUGCUGGGAAGAUGAAGGAACCAAUCAUAGUUGAAAUUGCUGAAAAAAGACACAAGACUUUGGUCUGGCGCACUUUGGUGAAGCCAGUGGAUCUCCAGUUUCAUUCUGCAGCAGCCCCUCCUCCUCUCUCAGAUCAUCCAGGAGGAGAAAGAUAGCAUCUCCUGAUGCCCCUCAGUGAAGAGAAGACUCUCCUCAGGUGUCACAUUGGCUUGAAAUGGCAAUAGACCCAUUUCCUGGCCAGCUGGUGGUGUUGUCAGGAGGUCCAGAGAGGCAGACUAGCUAAAGAAAAUCAGGCCCCACACCUGGAGUCGCAAUUGGGUUCCAACCCAACCACAGAUCUUGGGUAAGCAUGAGCUAAGGAUGAUUUCACAAAGAAAAUGAAAAGGAUUUAUGCAGGUGGUGAGUGUGUGGCACCAGCAAAAGGUCUCCACCCUUCCUAUUAUGCAAGCUCUUGAGCAAGAGAUAUCUGUCACCCGUUGUCACAAGAUAAAGUUGAGCCUGGUUUUCUCUCUCUAGAAGACCUUUCAGAAGCUGCUGCCAGCCCACAUCUUUGCCAGCCAAAUCUCCAUUCUGGCCACCAUGCACUGUGAAGCAUGACAUCUCUCUUCCUCUUUUUCCCUUUUGGCCUGGUGGCAUCUUGUAUUUCAUACAAGAUCCUACUCCUUCAGAUCUUCUUUUGAUACUAAGUCUUCUGUGAAGACUUUGCUUUAAAGUCUAG